rnacentral:tRNA from 1 species
GAGGGUAUAGCUCAGUGGUAGAGUAUGUGCUUUGCAUGGAUGAGGUCCUAGGUUCAAUUCCCAGUACCUCCA